rnacentral:lncRNA from 1 species
GGGCUCCCCCAUUAUGUCACCAAACAUCUUUGAAAUUUGGGACUUACCUGUUAAUGUUUAUUGGUUUCAGCUUCCCAAUCAAUUAUGUCAGACUGUCUUAAUGAUUUCCUAGGUGCUUGCUAGCAUAUACUGCUGUUACUUUAAUAACAGAGAUAGAGGUUUAACAUGUGCUUAUAUCUAUGUCAUAAUUGCUGUGACUCAAUCACUUCUUUCAGAGACAUACCACUAUGUCUGGAGAAUGUAGGUUCUUAUGCUUUCCCAGACCUUUCCCCUCUACAGAUCUGUAGACCAUGAUGUUCCCACUGUGUCCAAAGAAUAAAUACUUUUAGUUUUCACUGCACAGAAGAACGUUGAAUUCUGUUCCAGUUCUACCACUUCAUGGCAGAAUGAAUUAGCUUUGUUUCUGAAACUCUAGUUUUAAUUUUAUGGCCAGAAUAUUCUAAGUUUCAGCUUAUUUAUGUGGAAAUUGCUGACGACUCCAGAAAUGGUACACAUUUCCUUCAUGGUAUUCAAAGUGGUUUUCUGUUUUCAUGUAACAAUUUAGUUUUCUGAGACAUGCUGUGAUGUUCUAGGCAGACUCACUGAAGUAAAGGGCUAAUCUAAUGGCCAUUCUGUACUGCAUGGCAUCCUAAUGGUCAGAAUUUUUGCAAUACAUAGUGAGCAGUACUCAUAAAUGAGGCACGAAAGGAGAAUCUAUUUUAAAACUGAAAAAAAAAACUAUUCAAAAAAAAUUUAUUUAGUAGCAUUUCCUCUCUGCAAGGACACUGCAGAGAAACUAUGAACAUUGAAAGAAAAGGUCCUAGACACCAAAAGAGGAACUGGUUGGCCUGAUUUUGACUGCUUAGAAUCUUCUAUUAGCCUAAUGAGAAUUACUCCAAUGUUAAACAACAGCACCAUGAAGAUCCUUCUUGCAAACAGAAGUGCAGUUGGAGACUCAAAGGUUUCUUGGAAUGUGAAUUUGGUAUGUGGAUACAUUUUUAUUUGUAAGAAAAUAGCAAACACACCUGGUAUUGUGUUUUUUUCUUUUCCUAAUAUAACACUUCUAGAAUUUACAGUCCUUUCUUCAAAGAUAGCAAAAGAAGUUCUCUUAGAGGUUGACUUUUUAUAACUCAUUAGGAACCAGGCCUCAACUCCACUCUUCCCCAUGCAUUUCCAUUACACCACUUUAUAUGCUUUACAAGGUUCUGGCAGGCUCUUCUUCUUGUGACCCAGCAGAUACAUCCCUUUUCAACACUGCCUUUACCCUUUACAUUAUUGAUUCAAUUUUUUUCUUCCCAAGUAAAUAAUCAUUCUAUCUGAUUUCCCAAGUCCUCAUAUCUCGUUCGCCAUCACAUAUGCAGCUUUCUCUCUCAUUUUUCCAGAAUGACAGUUCAUGGUAUAUUAACCCAAAUUUUUUAUAAAACCACAUUUCACGUCUUUCCCAAAGGCCACAUCUUUACUACAUUUUCAAUUUCAGUUUUACUCUGUUUUCUGUUUUACUUAGAUGUUAUAUCUCUUUUAUGGUUCCACCUCUUCCCCACUAUUUACACUUCUUUGUCUUAUCUUUGGAAAUUGCAAUAGCCUCUCCUACUCCUCUGUUCAAUAGUUUUAGUGUGUUGAAAGGUAUUAUAUAUAAGAAAAAUCUUUUUUUUUUUUUUUUGCCAAUAACCACAAGCAUUCUGAGCUGGUAUUUUUGUACAUUCCAUGUUUUCUAAAACUUGCUUUUGUUUAAGAUUCUGUUCUACUCUGUAAAAGUAUAUUAUGCUCAGCAUUUCCAUUGGCAAAUUUUGUUGAAGAAAGGCUAAACUUUUUAGAAACUUGUUGCUUUCAUUCCAGAUAUGAAAAAGGAAAGCUUAAUCAUGCAACACUUAGAAUUCUGCAACUGCAGGCUUUCAUUUCUCUAAUUGGCCAGGGGAAUACAUAUGCAUGGAAACAACUCUCUAUACAUCCUGUAAUUUACUUUGAGGGAACAGGUUACAAUGUACAUGUACCCUUUUUUGUUUUCCAAACAAUAUUUUCCUUAUUUCUAACAUUUGGAAAUGGGGUUGAAAGAAGGCACCUUCAUGCUGAUUAGUCCUAUGGAAUAAUGCUCCCCACUCAACAUAUGGCUUUAUGAAAAAAAAAAAAAAGAAUCAAAUUGUGAGC